rnacentral:rRNA from 1 species
UAGCCUUGACAUUGAUUGAAUUCACCAGAGAUGGAGAAGUGCCCUUCGGGGAACAUGAAAACAGGUGCUGCACGGCUGUCGUCAGCUCGUGUCGUGAGAUGUUGGGUUAAGUCCCGCAACGAGCGCAACCCUCGCUAAUAGUUAAUAACGAUUCGGUCGAUGACUCUAUUAGGACUGCCUUCGCAAGAAGGAGGAAGGUGAGGACGACGUCAAGUCAUCAUGGCCCUUACGGCUAGGGCAACACACGUGCUACAAUGGUUAGGACAAUGAGAAGCGAUACCGCGAGGUGGAGCAAAUCUAUAAACCUAAUCUCAGUUCGGAUAGCAGUCUGCAACUCGACUGCUUGAAGC